rnacentral:tRNA from 1 species
AAUGAAUUGCCUGAUAAAAGGAUUACCUUGAUAGGGUAAAACAUAUAAUUUUAAUAAUUAUAUUCAUUA